rnacentral:rRNA from 1 species
CAACUCUUAACAACGGAUAUCUUGGUUCUCGUAACGAUGAAGAACGCAGCAAAAUGCGAUACGUAAUGCGAAUUGCAGAAUUCAGUGAAUCAUCAAAUCUUUGAACGCAAAUUGCGCUCUCGGGAUAGGCCUGAGAGCACGCCUCUUUGAGCAUCGAU